rnacentral:lncRNA from 1 species
UCUCUUCCUCGUCUCAAUCGCGUUUGAACUCGCCAAACCUCAGGCGAGUGAGCUCAAUUUCACCUCACACGCACCUUAUCUCACUCACCUCAGCAAGAUAACGGUUUCUGACAUUUUUUUCCCCUCUCAUGUGCUGAUUUCGUUUUGGAAUUUCUGAGAAUGAAUCCGAGAAAUGGGAGCCGUGGAUUGAUUGAAGGAUCGAUCCUCUCCUUCCAUCUGUCAGGGUUCAUUCUAGAAGAGAUUCAUUUUCCGGAUUUCUUGAAAAAAGGAGAAAAUUUUGUGAGAGAGGCUAUAUAUAUCGAGGUCUGAUUUCAGGUUGGGGGGCUGGAAAUUUCGGAGAGGUAAAAAGGGUUCUAGGGUUCUCUGCUUUCCUUAUUUUCGAUCUGGUACUGCAUUUUCAGAAAAAGAAAAAUACAAAAAAAAAAUAGUUUGGGUUUGAUUUUUGUUCGAGUUUCAUUUCAGAAGAAAUUAGAAAAUCCCCAAAAGAUUUCAAUAUUUGUUUUGAUUUUGGUUCUUAAAAUGGAGUUCGAUUGAAAGUUGCUGAGUUCGUCGCUGUCUAAACAUCUGAUUGCUGCUCGUCUUUGCUACUGGUUUGGCUGUGCUCCGAGCCUUGACCUGCUGUUAUUUUACUGCUGAAAGUUUGGAGUCGAAACUGUGUAAUCGCCUUCGAUUUUGUUAUCAAAAGAAGUUCGAAAUUUCAGGUUCAGUCUUCAUCUGUUGUGCUUGCAAUUCUGUUUCGUUUCAGUAUUUUUUUUUAGCUAUGAGAUUCAGUCCAGGGUGAUUUGUUUGUGUUAUGAUCGAUUUUUUUGUGGACUGAGUCUGUUCUCAGUAAUGGUAUGUGUUUGAGUAUCGAGAUGGUAUGGAUUCUUGAAG